GAGGUGGUGGGGACUUGUAGUAAUAGGGAGCAGGAAGGGACUUCACCGGUGGGGGCGGGGACUUGUAGUAGUACGGUGGUAGUGGAGAUGGAGAUGGUGGAGGUGGGGACUUGUAGUAGUAGGGAGGAAGUGGAGACUUUACAGGUGGAGGUGGGGACUUGUAGUAGUAGGGAGGAAAUGGAGAAGGAGAGGGUGGUGGUGGGGAUUGGUAGUAGUAUGGAGGAUGUGGAGAUGGAGAGGGUGGUGGUGGAGACUUGUAAUAGUAAGGAGCCGGUGGUGACUUCUUAGGAGGAGGUGGUGAACCGUAAUAGUAGGGAGCACGGGCCGAACGUGAGGGUGGCGGUGGUGGUGGAGACUUGUAGUAGUAAGGAGAUGGUGACUUCACCGGAGGAGGUGGCGACUUGUAGUAGUAAGGAGGAGGAGUUGGUGAUGGUGGGGGAGGAGACCUAUAAUAAUAAGGUGGUAGAGAUUUCUUUGGUGGAGGUGGAGACUUAUAAUAAUAUGGUGGUAGAGGCGACUUCACUGGUGGGGGUGGAGACUUGUAAUAGUAUGGUGGCAGUGGAGACUUCACUGGUGGGGGCGGGGACUUGUAGUAGUAGGGAGAUGGUGGUGACUUUAGAGGUGGAGCUGGGGACUUGUAGUAGUAAGGAGGUCGUGGAGACUUCACUGGUGGUGGCGGAGACUUGUAAUAGUAUGGUGGCAACGUCCUUGCCGGAGGUGGUGGAGACUUGUAGUAAUAUGGUACUGGUGGUGGUGGCGGAGACUUGUAAUAGUAUGGUGGCAACGUCCUUGCCGGAGGUGGUGGAGACUUGUAGUAAUAUGGUAUUGGUGGUGGUGGCGGAGACUUGUAAUAGUAUGGUGGCAACGUCCUUGCCGGAGGUGGUGGAGACCUGUAGUAAUAUGGUACUGGUGGCGGUGGCGAAUUGUAGUAGUAAAUGGGUGGGGAUGGUGAGGAAGGAGGCUUGCAGACGGGUGUUGG
rnacentral:lncRNA from 1 species